rnacentral:other from 1 species
AUAUACCUGCCCUGUUGAGUGAUUAGGGGGGAAUGUUGAUCUCGCAAAUUAGAUCUUUCGGGAGCUGGCGUAAGGUAAACGGUGUGCAUAUCUUCCCGCGCGGAGAGAGCCUAAGUUACUUUCAAGGCACCCACUUUUUAAGGAGAGAGAUCUAAGCUCGGCCUACACGGCAGGGUGGGUUUUAA